AGUCGCGUGGUCUAAUGGUUAUGAUUUCCCGUUCACACCGGGAAGGUUCCCGGUUCGAUCCCGGGCGCGACUA
rnacentral:tRNA from 1 species